CGGGGCGGGAGGGCGCUGCCUGCUCUCCGUCUCCGCCCUCGGGGAGGGGGAGCGCGGUGCCGGGGCGAGCAGCGGGUGAUGGGGAAGAGGCGAGCGCAGUGCUGAGGUCCUCUGGGGCCGGAUGAGCCGAGGCUUGGCGCCGCGGCGGUGGCGGGGCUGGAGGAGGGGGCGAAGGAGGCUCUAGGGGCGGCCCCCGCUCCGGCUGCCCAGAGGAGAAGGAGCCCCCGACCAUGGAAAUCGAGAACAUCGUGGCCAACACGGUGCUGCUGAAAGCCCGGGAGGGCAAACGGAGUGGGCGUAGUAAGAAAUGGAAAGAGAUGCUGAAGUUGCCCCCUGUCAGUCACUGUGAGGGUAUUCGGUGCUCCAUCGAAAGAGACUAUAACCAGCUUUGUGACAAACAGCCAAUUGGAAGACUUCUCUUCAGACAGUUCUGUGAUUCUAGACCAGAUUUGAAAAGAUGCAUUGAAUUUCUGGAUGCAGUGGCAGAGUAUGAGGUAUCUUCAGACGAAAAGCGCAUUGACUGUGGCCUCAAAGUUUUAGAGACAUACUUCACUAAUGGGUCUGCAGCACACUUGCCAGAAAUACCUCAGGAAACAGUAAAUGAAUGUAAGUCAAGACUGGAAAAGAACCCCUCUAAGGAUCUUUUCAUGGACUGUACUAGAAUUGUCCAUGAAUACCUAAGCAAAAGACCUUUUGAAGCUUACCAGGAGAGUGUGUAUUUUUCCCGUUUCUUACAGUGGAAAUGGCUGGAAAAGCAGCCAGUAACCAAACACACGUUUAGGCAUUACCGAGUACUAGGCAAAGGUGGAUUUGGAGAGGUGUGUGCCUGUCAAGUACGGGCAACAGGAAAAAUGUAUGCUUGCAAAAAGCUAGAAAAAAAGAGAAUAAAGAAGAGGAAAGGAGAAUCAAUGGCUCUAAAUGAAAAAAGGAUUCUAGAAAAAGUGAAUAGUAGGUUUGUAGUUAGUUUAUCCUAUACAUAUGAGACAAAAGAUGCCCUGUGUUUAGUAUUAACCAUAAUGAAUGGAGGGGAUCUGAAGUUUCACAUAUAUAACAUGGGAAAUCCUGGCUUUGAUGAAGAAAGAGCUAUUUUCUAUGCUGCAGAACUGUGCUGUGGUCUGGAGGAUUUGCAAAGGGAGAGAAUUGUUUACAGAGACUUGAAACCUGAGAACAUACUUCUUGAUGACUGUGGACAUAUCAGGAUUUCAGAUCUUGGAUUAGCUGUGCAGAUUCCAGAAGGUGAAACUGUCCGAGGACGUGUUGGGACUGUUGGUUACAUGGCUCCAGAAGUGCUCAAAAAUGAGAAGUACACAUUCAGUCCGGAUUGGUGGGGUCUUGGCUGUUUGAUUUAUGAAAUGAUUGAAGGACAGUCUCCAUUCAGGAAGCACAAGGAAAGAGUUAAACGGGAUGAGAUUGACCGGAGAGUAAAGGAAGACCAGGAAACAUACUCAGACAAGUUUUCAGAGGAGGCAAAAUCCAUCUGCAGGAUGUUACUUGCUAAAAAUCCAGGGGAACGACUGGGUUGCACUGAAGGAGGAGCUGCUGUUGUAAAGCAACAUCCCAUUUUCAAGAACAUCAACUUCAAGAGGCUGGAAGCUAACAUGUUAGAACCUCCAUUCUUGCCAGAUGUAAGUAGCCACGUGCCGUUUAUUGCAAAGAUGUCCUGGACAUUGAGCAGUUCUCAACAGUAAAAGGAGUGAACCUGGAUACCACAGAUGAUGACUUCUAUUCCAAAUUUGUGACGGGUUGUGUCUCAAUCCCUUGGCAAAAUGAGAUGAUUGAAACGGGAUGCUUUGAAGACAUCAAUGCAUAUGAAACUGAUGGUACUGUGUCACCAGACAGAGAGAAGUCUCCUAAGCCAAAGAGAGGCUUCUUUCACAGACUCUUUAGUGGAGAGGUCUGCUUUAAGUCUGAUUGCAGUGAUGAUGAGCAGGAGUCCUCCAGACUUUAAAUCAUUUUAUCCUCAUCAGAAAGGAUGAGCAAACAUUAAAUGUUUUAUAUCUCUGUAGCAAAUUGUAUUAUAUAUAUUUUUUAUCUGAGUUCAAGGAUUUUUGUACAUUUGUACUUCAUUUGUUUUAAGAUGUAUAUUUUCACUAAAGCUUAAUUGUACAAAAA